rnacentral:lncRNA from 1 species
AGUAAACUCUUAUUCACAAAACACAGUAGGUUACAAAUUGUGACGGCCUCAACCCCGGGGUAAGAGUUGACGUCACUAAUAAUAAUGAAAAGGAAACACAACCUGAAUAUAAUAAUAAUAAUACAACCCCUGACUAGGAUCUUGCCAGGUUUAAGUAUGAUUUAAGUCACCUGAAUAUUACAAUACCAUAAAUCUUAAAUCCGAAUAAACUCGCUAAUUAUUACAAUACCAUAACUUAUAAUAUCUGACUCCACUACCUCAAACGUGCCCAACAUGGGUGGAGGGAUGGAACACCGUCCACUACUGGUCAAUGGUUGUCUAGGCGGUCUCGUUCUAGGCAUCUGAAACAGUUAUGUAAAUAUUUUGCAAGGGUGAGCUAUGAAUCGCUCAGUAGUACCAAUAUGAAUAAACAGAAGAUAAAAUCAUAAAACAGUUUAUAAGAGCAAGAGAAUAGAAAACAUGCAUGCUUCGAACAUAAAACAGUAAAUCAUCAUUUGAUAUGAAACUGGAAAUCAACAUUUAUUAGCAUGCUGGAAAAUGUGAUAAUCAUAAGUUUUAGUUUCAAAAUUUUAUCACUAGCAUGCUAUACAGGUUUUUAUCUAAAACGAAUAUCAGAUAUAUUGGACGCUAACAGGUGAAGACAGCUGAUCAGUCUAUCAACACCGGACGGCUCUAGUCGGCCAUCACGAAAUAAUGUUCCAGAACCUAAAGACUAGCUAGGUCUUUAGACGCUGGACCAAGUGGUUUUGGGUGUGUAAACCACGCAAGCCUCUUACGCCACCAUGCUGGGUCGUUAUCAAAUAACGGAACCUCUUACGCAGCUCCAAAUAGAGAUAUCUGAUCCAUUUCCAGUUUCCAAUUUGAUUUGUAUCUAUCCCAUUUUCAAAACCAUUACAUGAUAUUCAUGAAUCAAUACCAUGUCUCAAAGAAUUAUAUCACAUGUUUAGCAAUGAUAAUCACUAAACAUUUUCAGAAUUAAAAUCUCAUCCGGGAUAGAUAUUCACAAGUUACUAUUCCCCUAAAACAAUUUUAAAAGAUAUUAAAGUCUAUAGAAACAGGGGAAUACGUACUCAAAACAUUUAAUAUUUGACAUGCAUUCUUGCUCUAUUUUAUUCAUAUAUAAUCUGAACCAUAAAGAGUAUGGUCACUGGUACUUGCCUUGCUGAAGUAUAGGAAUCAGAUGCUAUGAAGGGAGUCGACUAGCCUUUCGAAAACUGGUGUCCCGAAAUAGAACCUACAGGAUCGAACAAUCCUAAGUUAGACAGUCUCUAUGUCAGACAUCAUCGCUAGACUCUAACCCCUUCGAUAGUACAACCCGACUUUAAUAUAUAGAGUAGUACAGAUAAGCAGAUAAGGCUCACAUAAUUCAAAUCAGGUUCGGGUUGAAUUCAAAAUGUACGAUCCACUGAUAGUACGAGAAAGUAGGGUUAUAAUACUUUCCGUAAAAUAUUACACCAAGUCACAUAUAUAUUAUUUAUAGACUCGAUUGAUAGUUCGAUAAUUACAGAGGACGUUCCCGUAUAAUUUAAAAUCUAAUUUUAUUUGAAAAUCGGGCAGCAUCUCCUCUAUUUAUCGGGCUACCAGUCGAUAUCAUAUCGACACAACAAAUCCCAAACAACCUGUAAUUAACUACUAACCACCUUAACUUGUAACUACCAAACAAAUUAACAAAUUGAGUAAAAUGCUUAACCAAAUAACAAAUCAUCUGAUAAAGUCAAAGAAAUGGUACGGUAGUCUUGCAGAAGCCAAAUACAUUAAUAAACAUUCACCCACUUACUCCUGUGACCAACACUCACGGCCAAAAUCACACAAUACACACACACACCCACUCUUACACACACACCCACUACACACGCACACACCAGCACACACAGUACACACACUGAUGCACACAUGAGACACACACACACGUUGAAAAACACACACACACACAUGGACCCGAUUACACAGCAGCGGGACAGGGGAAAACAGGGGAAGAAAGGGGAGAGAAAAGGAGGAAGGAAACCGGAGGAAGAGGGAGACAGUGGCCUGGAGGGGCUGAAGGGAACGAAGCGGCGGCGAGCGGUGGCGAGGCGGCCGGAAAAACAGAGCGGCGAGGCGACAUGGGAGAGACGCGGAGAGAAAGACGCGGGGAGAGGGCGGUGAGAGAGAGUGCAGAGAGAGAUUCCAGCGAGAGAGAUUGGUGAGGAAGAGAGGGAGUGCGAGAGAGACACGGGAGAGAUUUUUGGGAGAGAGAGAGGAGAGGCGGUGAGAGAGAUACAGGUGAGAGAUUGAUG